GAUGAACGCUAGCGAUAGGCCUAACACAUGCAAGUCGAGGGGCAUCACAUGAAGUAGCAAUACGGAUGGUGGCGACCGGCGCACGGGUGAGUAACACGUAUGCAACCUGCCUUCAACAAGGGGAUAACCCGUUGAAAGACGGACUAAUACCCUAUAACACAGGGGUCCCGCAUGGGAAUAUUUGUUAAAGGACAACCGGUUGAAGAUGGGCAUGCGUUCCAUUAGCUAGUUGGCGGGGUAACGGCCCACCAAGGCAACGAUGGAUAGGGGAACUGAGAGGUUUAUCCCCCACACUGGUACUGAGACACGGACCAGACUCCUACGGGAGGGCAGCAGUGAGGAAUAUUGGUCAAUGGACGCAAGUCUGAACCAGCCACGUCGCGUGAAGGAAGACGGCCCUACGGGUUGUAAACUUCUUUUGCAAGGGAAUAAAGUGGGCCACGUGUGGCCUUUUGCAAGUACCUUGCGAAUAAGGAUCGGCUAACUCCGUGCCAGCAGCCGCGGUAAUUACGC
rnacentral:rRNA from 1 species